rnacentral:lncRNA from 1 species
ACAACUUGCAGCAUGUAGAAAUAUCAACAUUUAGGCUGCAUAUCCCCCCUCCCCGAAAGAAUACAACUUGCAGCUGAUAGAAGUGUCGUCAACAUUUUGCCUCGCCCCCAAACCAUACACACUCACACAAUCAUCCCCGUUACAGCUUUCAGCUGGUAGAGGUAUCAGAAUAUCAGCAUAGAAUAGUACUUUUGAUGUCGACCUUUUGGAACCUGCAGCCUCCACCCUACCCCUAAGUUAUGUAACUUGUAUUUCUUCUGGAAACUAUUGAAAAAUUUAGCAUGAGGUAAAAUUAUACAUAUAGGGUCAAUACUUUUCCCACCUUGAUAGGAAGACAAUUUUAAGUAAAAUGUUUGAAGCAAGCUCAUUUUAUGUUUGCUAUUAAUCCAUAGGUCUCCAGACAGUGACAGUGAAGUUGACGAAAAUCUGCCUAUAACAACGUAAGCACCUCCUUUACCUCGGCUACCUCUCCUGCACACCCCAGCUGUCGAAAGGACACCAAGUCAAUACCAAACACCAAUCAGUAUGUUUGCUUUUUACCCAAUUCAAAAAUUAUUUACAUGGAUUGUGUGCCUCGGUUGGAAAGAUAGCACUAUGGAAACGGUAUAAUUAUAGUAGUUAGAUAGAAUAGGGUAUCCAUUGUAUAAUUGCAGGCUGGAGGGGCAUAAUUCCAAAAAUUGAGACAAUUUAGUUUUUUACACCAUGUAAAUUAAAAAAUGUUUUUACUUAAUAAAUUAUUUCCUGUUUGCUCUUGUAUGAAUCCAUUACAUUUAUCUAAUGGAUAUCUUAUAAUUAUUUAUCUAAUUAUCUCCCCGAGAUGACUCACCUGGACUAACUUCUUUUGAAACAGCAGGAUCAAAACCUUCUUAUCACAGUAAUGGGAUGGAACAAACAUCAACGCCAUGCAGUCAAUAAAUCGAUGAGUCCGAUCCCAGUGGAUCAACAACUGGUACCGUGGACAACCUGUGCCAACAUCUUCCCUUGCCUCUAGCACCUCCACCAUCUAUGUUGAAGUUUCCUGAUGAGGCACAAGUGCAGACUCCGACAGAAGUGCUCUCAAGGAAAAGGAAAAGAAAUGUUGAUUGUUGGAAGAGAAACAUUAAGUCAGCAAGACACAACAGUGGCGUAUCCAAGAAAUAUGGAGGUGAGGAGGGGGUGAGAGCUUUGAAGCCUCCUUGCACAACGGAAUGCCGGAGAAAAUGUUCAAAUCUUUUGUCUGAAGACUUAAGAAAUUCUAUUUAAAGCUUUCCGAGGAAUGGCCAGUAAAAACGGGCAAAGGGAUUUUAUUAUAGCUCAUAUUCACGCGCGUGAAAAAAAGUCGGUCACGAGGAAAAAUGCCAAUAAAAUUCAAAAUCGAACCCUUUCAUACACACUUCCUCACGCAAAUGGCUCCUGUGUAACAGUAUGCAAGACCAUGUUUUUGAACACGUUAGACGUGUCUGACAUCAUGGUCUUUUAUAACAUGAAGCUGGCUACGCACAACAUCGUUGAACCAAGACCGCAUCCACCUGCAUAUAAUGUGAUUAACGAAGAAAAGUUGCAGAAAGUAAGAGAACACAUUGAGUCCUUCCCAAAAGUAGACAGUCACUGCUGCAGGGCAGAUUCAAAACGGUUGUACCUUGAUGCCUCUCUGAACACCAGACUCAUGUACAGGCUUUACAAAGCAUGUCAGUUAGAAAAGCGUCUAGGCGUUGUGUCGGAGUAUAAGUACAGGCAAGUUUUUAAUGAAGGUUUUAAUCUAUCAUUCCAUGUACCCAGUAAGGACACAUGUGAUACCUGUACCAAAUACCAGCUUAAACAAACCCUCACCCCUGAAGAAAUUGCAGAUCACGAAUCCCAUCUCCGUAGGAAAAUGCAAGCGAGGAAUUGCAAAGAACUCGAUAAAAACAAUGAAGAGAUGAUAAGUGUAGGUUAUUACUUGUCCUAAACUUGCUGUUUCCACCUCGUAUUACUUUAAAAAAUUAAAUGUAUAAAAUUUCAUUGAAUCUAAGGACUCUUCAAGGUACCUGUUCUGCAUGGAAUGAAAGUGAGUUUAACAGAGGUACACAUGAUAUUGCCAGUUGUGUAUGGAAAGGGUUGGAAUUGAGAGAUAAUGAAGGUGCAAAACAUGUUGUAUUUUACAGUGAUUGUUGUGGUGGUCAAAACAGAAAUCGCCUCGUGAUCACAUCAUUGUCUAAACUCCUGUCAAAUUCUUCAUCAAUGUUGAAAAUUGAACAACAGUUUUUUUUAACAGGUCACUAUGAGUGUAAUAAGUGAUAGCAUGCACUCUUUCAUUCAGAAAAAGUACAGCAAGACCCUUGUUAAACCUUCUGGCUUUCAUAAACACAUGAAGAAGGCUCAACGCAUGCUGCCUUAUCUUGUUAAUUUCAUGACUCAUUAUGAAGAUUUACUGGAUUUCAAUUCGUUGAAUGGGGCAUUUAUGACUAAGACUGCGUUCUAUGGAAUCCAGAAAAUUCAUCCUAUCAUUUACGAAAAGGGUGAAGAUGGUGUUUCUAUUCAUUUUGUAGUGGAAAUUGGCGGGGGUAAAAACCAACAUGCUUUCCACAGGCUGAAAUAUCAAAGGCAUACAAUCGUCCUUUUGGGAUUGAUGACAAAAAAAAAAAAAUGCCAGAUCUUGUCAAGCUGACAGAUUUUUUGCUUGAAGAUUGAAAGGCAUUCUAUCAAAUACUAUCAUUCUUUAUAAUGAUGAUCAACUAUUGCUACGCAAUGCAUGCCAUGUAGUGAAGUAAAGAUCAAACCUUACUAACAAAUGCCCUCAAUGAGCUUUUUGUUACGUUCACAUUAUGUAAAAUAGUAAACUUUUAUAUUAAGGUGGUGCUCUUAUUUAUGUUCCUUUUCACAUAAAAUUAUAUCAUUUUAUUUGUUAAAUUGAUGUACUUUCUGCGGGUAAAUUAAAAUGUCUUAAUUAUUAUGCGUCAAUGCUUGAGAGUUUGACUGUGUGGGCGAAUGUGAAACAAUGAGUAUACAGCGUGCAGGUGUGGGUGUGUAGCAUUGUUCACAAUGACAUGUCGGUUUAUAUUUGAUUAUUUUUACAUUGCUUAAUGUAUCUGAAUUGUAAACUUUUUUGAUAAGACAGUUUAUUUUCUAUCUUUGCUUUUUAUGAUGAUGUAAUUGUAGGAUGAAUCAAGGCUAUUAUUUU